UUAUCAUCUAAUUCUUUCUUAGCAGUGAAGCUUGAUUCGAACAAUCAUACGUCGAGGUUCAUCUGAAAGAGUAUUGCAAGAUGUCAAGAAGAUGCACAAAAACUUGGGAGUUGAAUAUUUGCUUGGGUUGAGUUGAACUUGAGGCCACCAUUGCAAGGAUUUGUAAAUAAUUAUUUUUAUUUCAAAUUAAAAACUCGUAGUCUUCAAUGUACAUAUAUAUUAUUAUUAGCCUUGUAAAGUGUAAAAUGCAUAUUUGUCCAAUCAAUUGUUAUCUUA